CCCUUGAUGCCACCCAUCCCUUCACCUGUGAGGGAAACCCAACUGCUCCAUCGCAGGAAAUCCCUGGAGUACCUGCGUUGGACCAAAGGCCACCAGAAGUUGGGGAGUUCUUGUAAUCCUUUAAUGGCCAAAAGAACUUGAGGGCCUGGGAUUGACUGGAAAAUGCAUCACCUUUCCCAUAGAACUCAGCCUGAAGGACCAGUGCUCAUGGGUGUCAACCCCUGCGUGGUUACAGGAAUCUGAACUAUGAAGUCACUGGCCAGGGACAAGGCCUGGCUCAGAGAUAGAGUCGUUCGGAAUUCAAUAGAUCAUCACAUAAAGCAUCUAGCCAGUCACUACCUAGAGCACAUAAUAAACAGAGCUGAUGCUAAAGGAAAGAUCUGCAGGAUCCAUGGAAAGGAGCUAGAUUAUUGCUCCCUCUGCCCAUCUUCCUUUGAGAAGUAACACGAGCCCCUGUCUGUCCUCAAACAUGUCCCAUCUCCAAAUCAGUAUAAACACAUCCUUGACCCACCUCUGGCCACAUGCUCCACCCUGCUGAAAACCCCUGAG
rnacentral:lncRNA from 1 species